AAAAGUCUUUCCCUCUAAAUGCAUGCAAGCUUAGUUUCCUCUCUGCAUCCAGCUUUUAGAAGCAUAACAGCACACACUGUGCAGAAGAGAACUUCCAGACAGCACCAUAUAAUGUACUACUGGCAGAGCCACCUAAGAAAGCUCCAAAUGUAUGAAAUUUGGUCGACAUCCAGUCUGAGGGAAGAGUCUGGGGGUUGACUCUGAGCAAAUGGACUCACCCAAGAUGAGGUGAAAAUUCUUUCAACAGUUAGUGGUAGCCUGGUGCUACAUUGUCCACCUUGCUCUUUGGCUGCCAAAUCUUGGGCUCUUGGGAGUCUCCUUCACUCAGACACCCUCAUCUUAUCUUACUGCUCCCAUCCUCAAAGUCAACAGCACAAGAGCCUAAGCACAUCUGCUCUGGUGUCAAGCCCAGAUUCCUCACCCUGGGUCUGAGGAGAGCCCUCUCUGGCCUAGCUUCCCCUGCCUGUUCCUUGCUCUAAAUCUUUGGUGCUUUGGUACCUGAUACCUCUGGCUGUGCUAUCUUCCCCUCACAGUCUCUCCUUUAAAGAGUUGCUCCUGUGUAUUAUCUAUGGUUGCUUCCUUUUUGCUCCGUUCCCAAACACCAGGUCUAUUCUUGGAACGUCCGGCUAGAGCACUCGUAUUGACGUCAAAAUUACUCAACAGUUAUUGUCAGGAAGGACUUGAUUUGCAUUUGAAUAGAGUGGCUUUUUAAUGUCUCAGAAAUACGAUGCUGUUGGGGACAAUGUCUGGAAAGAUUCCCCAAGGUAAAUGUGAAGAGGCAAAUUGCAAGCACGUCUCUUCUUCUUGAAAUUUCUUGAAUUCCCCAGGUGUGGUGAGGAUAGGAAGAAAACCACCUGUGUUCAGUGAAGGAGCAUAGCUGCUUUCUCCACACACCGCUUGCAUGCAUUCUGUCCUCAAGGCCUGGUGGGAAAAACAGCACUACUCCAGCUUCCUGGCAGGAACUGCAAAGCCCCUUUUGAAAAUACUCUGUUAAAUCUGAUCCAGUCACUCAUGGCUGUUUCUGAGGAGGAGGGGAAAAGCACAGAAGGGAUUCUGUAACCUCAGCUGAUUUUCCCAUUAAGCCAAUGACCAUCAGGUUUCUGUCAUUUGCUACUAAGAACUUGGUUUGAAUGCAUCUGGGUCAGUUCAGCUCCUGGAAUGCUCUCCCAGAUAAAGGGCAGGUUGGGGGACAGUAGGCCUUGAUUGUAGGAUUGCUAUAUCAAUUCUCCAACCUGAGACUGUGAGGUCUCCUCAGUUCAUACAGAUGGGGCACAGUGGAGCUGAUACUGCUGCAAGGAAGCUGAGGCUGCCAGCUCUUCACUGGCCUAGAUGCAGCAGGAUGGAGAGGAAGGUCACACCGCUGGGGCAGAAAGCACAGCAGUAACUUAACACGUCUUUGAUGCACCGGCUGGCCUUUGUCUCAUCCACAGGCUGAUGGAAGCACUGAGGGCAGCAGUGGGAUGGUGACCCUGUCUGAGGGAAGCUGAUGAAGCCCUACAGGAGGGAGAUCUGAGUCAUGAGAGCCUUCUCAUGGAAAUUUACUUCCUGGCCUCCUUUCUGCUGCACACUGAGAACAGAAGAUGAACUAGGACGUGGUAGAGGGAAGCUGCAAUGUUAUGCGCUCUCUGGAGCACAAUAAGCAGUUUUUGUUCCUAUAAAACAUGCAGUGCUUCGGUAUCUUUGCUCUUUCCUGCUUCUCAUUCCUCCCCUUUGCCCUCCUUGCUCCUAGCCCAGCUCCGUGGUGGCUGGUCACACAUCCAUUCAGCAACUUGCGAGGUCCCAUCAUUUAUAAUUCUUAGACACACAAGCUGCCACUUUCACAUACGGAAAUUCCCAAAGGUCAGAGAAGGGAAAUGGUUAAUUCCUUUUAUUCAAUACCUAACCUCCCCCUCAUCCCCCACUUUCCACCCCCACCCUGUGUGAACAGGAAGCUUGAAAAGGAAAAGCUUUCUGAAUCCAGCAGCUGGGAAUGGAGGAAUCCUGGAACUUUAUGCUGCAGAAGUUCGGAGACAACAAUAAAGGUUCCCUCCUCCCACCCCCAUCCAAAUAGCAAGUAUAUAUAUAAAGUAGUUAUCUCUUCAAAAAAACAUAUGGGGGAUGGGAGGGUCAAAAUCACAGCAGGCAAGUGUUGAAUUGACUGAAGCUCCAGCAAGAAGAAGGAGACCCCUGGGCAUGCAGACCUGACUGUACCAUCAGCUUGGUAAGCUGGAAGCAUUGGGAAGAAGCCUAACCAGAUGGUGCUCAUACAGGUGUAGUUUGUGACUUGGCCUUGUUUGCACUGCUCUCUGAAACGCUACAUGAUGUGGUGUGGACCUGAAUCUCACACACAGGGUUGUUGCUCCCUAUAGGACUGGCCACAGACACCAGCUUUCAGCCCUUUCAGAUGUGGAAAUGACUAAAACUUAAUCCAUCUUUGGAUUUUUCCUACCAGAGCAGGAAGAUGAGGGUGAUUUUCUUAGAAAUAACCAGAGUGGCUGCCAGGAUUGAUGGUUUAUUUAAUAAAGUGUCACUGCUGCAGCUGCAUGGAGGUGGGAAGAGCUGUGGGUCUCCUUGGAGGAAAAAGGUGCCUGGAGUGAUGCUGUGUAGGUGCCCUAGUGUCAGUUUGUGGCCCAUCUUGUCUCAGUUUGCCCUCAUGAAGCCUACAGUAGCAAAUAGAUGCACACAGGCAUUGCCCACUGUUGCACAGCCAUGUAGUGAUGGGCUUGUCCUGUGAACCCUAGUGUACUGCCAGCCCCACAAAGGGCUUUCACAACUGGAGAUGGCAGUGUCAACAAAGAGAACAAUCCAGUGGCCAAGCUGCCUCUCCAUUUGUAAUUCUAAAUCUCCUUCUGCAAGACCCAAAGCCAUGCCUGCAUUUGGCUUAUAAUAAAAUUAAUUGUGUUCUUUGUAUAUUCCCUUUUUGAAUCUCGGCCAGGAUCUCAUUACAUCCCAGGAACACAUUCUUGAGCCACCUGAAUGCAGCCGCUGCUCCUUCGCAGGGCUUUUUCUCCCACCACUGCCACAAUGCUGCUUGCUGUUCCCCCACAUCCAGCCCUGAUGGACUCAUGACUGGUGGGGCUACGUGUCCAAGUCCCACAGCCUAUUCAUUGCUUUCUUCCACUCAGGGCCAAAUCAGUGCAUGGGAUUGUGAGCUGCAGCCCUUAGAGGGCAGGCAAAGCUGUGGUGUGCUGGAAGGGGAAGUAGCAAUUGCUGCCUGAGUCACAGUUGAUGUAAAUACUGCAUCAUAUUUGACAACUGCUCUAAGGCAAAUCUUCAUUAGUAGUAUUUUGUUUUACUUCAGGGACUGCUUUCUGAAUUUUUCAUUUUUUUUCCCCCCUCUCUUGUUUGUAACAUCCCCUUUGAACUUGCGACAAUAAAAUUUCCUUCCCCACUGAUUUAGUCCUUUUCCACUUGGCACGCAUGGACAUUUUCCCUGCUGUUUCUAUGGAACCAAAGUCCCCAUGAGUCCUUUUUGUUUACUUCCUUGUAAGCAGUUGAACAUCAUUGGUGAGGUCAGGGGAAGGUGUGUGGCUCUGAGACUAGCGAGAGCAAUGCCGGCAGCACCAGUAGUCUGUAAAAUAACCCAGCCUCGACACCUAUCCCAUCCACAGGCUCAUGCCAUAAGGAUGCCAAGGUAUUUGCAAAAUACAAGAAAGAAAGCUAAAUAGAAGAUUUCCUUCUGAAAUCAUUUCUGUUCACAUUCUUCCUCAGCUUUGGCUCUCCUGUCACUCAGUUCUCAUCCACCUCCAUUC